AUACUUACCUGGUAGGGGAGACACCAUGGUCAGGCAGGUGGUUUUCCCAGGGCGAGGCUCAUACUCUGCACUAUUUUUUUUUUUUUUUAAGGCCAGGCAGCAGAUCCUCCUGGA
rnacentral:snRNA from 1 species